AUAUAUAUAUUUUAAUAUGCAUACUCCUAAGUAAAGUUUCAGAGACCACAUGCUGGAGAGCAGUGGCUUUCAGACAGCAUCAGCAUCACCUGAAGGCCUUGUUGAAUACACAUUAUUGGAAGAGAGGGGAGAACACAGGCUCAUGCCUGUAAUUCCAGUGCUUUGGGAGACUGAGGCAGGAGGAUCACGUGAGCCCAGGAGUUCAAGAUCAGGCUGGGCAAUACAGCAAGACCCCUGUCUCUACAAAAACAAAAACAAAAAACAAACAGGCAUGGUAGUGCAUACCUGUAGUCUGAGCUGCUUGGGAGUCUGAGGCAGGAGGAUCACUUGAACCCAGGAGUUCGAGGCUGCAGUGAGUUAUUAUUGGGCCACUGCAGUCCAGCCUGGGCAGCAAAGUGAGACCCUGUCUGUUAAAAAAACAAAACCAAAAACUUGAUUGCUGGGGGCCACCCUAGAGUUUCUGAUUCAGUAGGUCUGGCGGUGGGGAUGGUGGGCCUGGUAAUUUGCCUUUCUAACAAGCGUCCAGGUAAUGCCCCAGCUGCUGGUCCCAGGACCACACUUUGCAGAUUAUUACUCUGAGAAGAGCACUAACUCUGACGUUGGAUUCCUUCUGUUCCUCAUUAGUGAAUUUAUUUGGGGGAGAUUAUUCAAUCUGGUAGAUCCGCAUUUACUUAGCUGUGAAGUGGAGGUUAAUGCAACCUGCCUGAGACUGUGAGAAUGAGAAACUCUAAUUGAAAUACCAGGCCCAGCGUGCCUGGAUGCUUGAAAAAUGCUGACUCCCAUGGUCCGUCCUUCCCUCACUCUUCUCAGCUAUAAAGUGAGAAGCGAAAUUCAGUAUCUUUUAAGAUUCCUCUCAGGUGUAAAAUGCUGUGAUUCUAAAAGUUUAAUUUUGUAGUUCCAGAGACAAUGCCAAACACCUGUGUGUGCUUAGUGCUUUGUAAAGAGUGGUAAUAACAGUGACACCACAUAGGCCGUAGUUUUGUAGUUCCAGAGACAAUGCCAAACACCUGUGUGUACUUAGUGCUUUGUAAAGAGUGAAUAACAGUGACACCACAUAGGCCAUAGUUUUGUAGUUCCAGAGACAAUGCCAAACACCUAUGUGUACUUAGUGCUUUGUAAAGAGUGGUAAUAACAGUGACACCACAUAGGCCGUAAUUUUGUUUUUGCUUUUGUUAGGGUGUUCAGCAUCUUGACUCCUUAAAUAAGGUUUUCAGUCAGAUUUAUAAAGCAGCAUUGAAGAAGUUGUAUUAUAUUUGAGUACAGUUGGAAUCCAUGGCAGUUUUAUGGAGGCCAAAUAUAUCAGAUGAAUAGGCUAAUUUCCCUGAGUUGCUGGCCUUAUUAGUCCCUACUCUGUUGCCCCCUGGUUACCUAAUGCAUGUUCAAAAGGUAUAGUUUUCAUCACCUGCUUGAUCUUGAUUUUCAGACAGCAUCAAAUCAGUUGCAAAACAAAUCCAAGCUAAAAUUUUGAGUGUAUGAUUAAUUUACUAUAGCAUGUAAUUAUGCAGUAUUUUAUUUUUUAUUUUUUAUUUUUUUUGAGAUCACACCACUGCACUCCAGCCUGGGUGACAGAGCGAGACCCUGUUUCAAAAAAAUAAGAAAUAAAAAGUGAGUCUUCAUAUUCAAAUUAGUAUAUGAGGUUAGGCAACAAUUCUUAUAUGGGACCAGGUAUAUUUAAUUUGCCUUUCUUUGCAGUCAUCCUAGUAAAUCCUUGUAAAGGGUUAUUUUAUAUACAAUUUUGUAGUAUAUUCUAAAUCCCCUUUGGCAAAUAAAGCUGAAGUUAUCUAGUGUCAGCAUACUGUGAUUUGUAUAUUUAUAUAAGACAAGAUUGCAUCAUUCUGAUUAAGUUGCAGCAUUUUAGUUUUAUCUGAUAGGCCUGUAUUGAGUAAUCAGUAGCUAUGUGCAAAUAUUAAGUCAACUUAAUUACCAGACCCAGAAGGCCAGAGGUAAUCAAAGAGUACUUUCGGAAGAUGAAAUAUUUAUAAUGAGUUAUGGAAACAAUGUUUUAGAAAUGUUUUUCUUGGUGUAAUUUAAUGCAGAUUUUUACCUCAAUUUUGUUAAAAAACUUGAUAAUUUGAUCCCUCCAUCUAUUUAAUAUUUAAUAUUUUCAGAUUCUAGAGUAUUUAAAAUUUAAACACAAUUAUAAAAUUAAUUAUAAUUCCUACUUAUGUUAGCUAUGAUUUAGGGCCAAAACUACCCUGGUUUUGUCUUGCAACUUGAAACAUUGUGUAUUUUAAACUAUAUAAUUUGGGAACAUUAUUUUAUAGACUGUGGAUAACCAAAUAUAAGAUUUGUGAUUUUUAAUGCUUCAUUUGUGUAAAAUCAUUUGUAUAUUCUAUUUAUAGUAUGCAUUUUCUAGCUCAUUAAAAGUAC
rnacentral:lncRNA from 1 species